rnacentral:rRNA from 1 species
UGGAAAGAUGAAUCAAAGAAGGUAAUAAUCCUGUAGUCGAAAAUGUUGUCUCUCUUGAGUGGAUCCUGAGUACGACGGAGCACGUGAAAUUCCGUCGGAAUCUGGGAGGACCAUCUCCUAAGGCUAAAUACUCUCUAGUGACCGAUAGUGAACCAGUACCGUGAGGGAAAGGUGAAAAGCACCCCGGAAGGGGAGUGAAAUAGAACCUGAAACCGUGUGCUUACAAGUAGUCAGAGCCCGUUAAUGGGUGAUGGCGUGCCUUUUGUAGAAUGAACCGGCGAGUUACGAUUUGAUGCAAGGUUAAGCAGUAAAUGUGGAGCCGUAGCGAAAGCGAGUCUGAAUAGGGCGUUUAGUAUUUGGUCGUAGACCCGAAACCAGGUGAUCUACCCUUGGUCAGGUUGAAGUUCAGGUAACACUGAAUGGAGGACCGAACCGACUUACGUUGAAAAGUGAGCGGAUGAACUGAGGGUAGCGGAGAAAUUCCAAUCGAACCUGGAGAUAGCUGGUUCUCUCCGAAAUAGCUUUAGGGCUAGCCUCAAGUGAUGAUUAUUGGAGGUAGAGCACUGUUUGGACGAGGGGCCCCUCUCGGGUUACCGAAUUCAGACAAACUCCGAAUGCCAAUUAAUUUAACUUGGGAGUCAGAACAUGGGUGAUAAGGUCCGUGUUCGAAAGGGAAACAGCCCAGACCACCAGCUAAGGUCCCAAAAUAUAUGUUAAGUGGAAAAGGAUGUGGCGUUGCCCAGACAACUAGGAUGUUGGCUUAGAAGCAGCCAUCAUUUAAAGAGUGCGUAAUAGCUCACUAGUCGAGUGACACUGCGCCGAAAAUGUACCGGGGCUAAACAUAUUACCGAAGCUGUGGAUUGUCCUUUGGACAAU